UUAAAUAGCUUAAAUAGAGUAUUGCCCUGAAAAGGCAAAGGUGUUGAAUCUUUAAUUA
rnacentral:tRNA from 1 species